rnacentral:lncRNA from 1 species
UAACAUUUGACACUGACUGAUGUUGUCUUAGAACUUAGACAUUUCUACCUUUUGACAUCUGGACCUAGUGGGGCCCAGAUACACACACACUUUUACGCAGGAUAAUUUAAGGAUAUUUCUUUUUCUAUAUAUAGGCUAGUAUAUAGAUUUUAAACUUGGGUUCUUACCUCAAAGCAAAACAGGAAAGGAAUGGUUCCUGUGCUUUUAUUAAGAUGUUCCAAUGUGUGUUUUAUGAAUUAUAAGCUGUUUCCUAAAACUGAAACUGGCUAUUCAUGUUUUACUGUCCAUUAGCAAGACUUCCAAAGGCUUUGCUCACCUUCUAAUAAGGGGAGCAUUUUUUUAAAAGUUGAAAUGGUUUGCUUUAUAAAAACAAUCUUUCAAAAGAAAUCGAAUAUACUUGGAAUAAAGUUAUUCUCAGCUCUGUAUUCAUAUAGCUACAGUGUAUGGUUUUUCAGAGUAGAAUACUUUGAGUCCUGUAAUUGAAAUUGAGUAUGAACUGGAAUAAAAUUGAUAUUCUUGAGACCUA